AAAAAACAGAUUUUAAAAAGUAUAGAUAUAGCCCUGACUGAUACAGACUCCAAGCAAGAAUCACCCAGCUGAGCCCAAUCAACCCACAGAACCAUGACAGAGAUUAGGACAUAAGCCAGUACAGAGGGAAGACUGAAGGAAGACACAGGGAG